UGUAAGCGUAUACCAAAGUUGUUGCAGUUAAAACGCUCGUAGUCGGAAUUUGGCAGUUCCGGAUGUGUGCACGUCGUGUGCGCACUUCGCGGGGAUUGCUUUUGUGGUCUUGCGUAGGAUGAGGCACUUUUAUUAGUGAACGUCCUCACGCAACCACUUUUUACUGUGAGAAAAUCAGAGUGCUCAAAGCAGGCAUUUGCCGUGAAUGUAUUAGCAUGGAAUAAUAGAAUAGGACCUGGUUCUAUUUUGUUGGUUUGUUGGGACUGAGUAAUGAUUAAGAGGGACAGUUGGGGGCAUUUGUAUUUCGGUGCUAGAGGUGAAAUUCUUAGAUUACCGAAAGACAAACUGCUGCGAAAGCGUCUGCCAAGGAUGUUUUCAUUGA
rnacentral:rRNA from 1 species